GGAGUCCCGGGAAGAGUUGUCUUUUCUUUGUAAGGGACGGACUCCCUGGAAUCGGCUCGCCCGGAGAGAGGGAUGUUGUUCCCGUAAAGCACCGCGGCUCUUGCGGUGUCCGGAGGGCUCCCGCCGGCCCUUGAAAAUCCGAGGGAGAGAAUUUGAUUUUCGCGCCGGACCGUAA
rnacentral:rRNA from 1 species